rnacentral:rRNA from 1 species
GACGAACGCUGGCGGCGUGCUUAACACAUGCAAGUCGAACGGAAAGUCCCGGCUUUUGUGCGGUGCUCGAGUUGCGACCGGGUGAGUAACACGUGAGUAACCUAUCCCUCACUUUGGGAUAACUUCAUGACACUGGGGCUAAUCCCAGCUAGGAUCUCUUGCUGCUUGGUGGGGGUGGGUAAGUUUCGGCGGUUGGGGAUGUACUCGCGGCUUAGCAGCUUGUUGGUGGGGUAGUGGCUUACCAAGGCUUUGACGGCUAGCCGGACUGAGAGGGUGACCGGCAACAUUGGGACUGAGACACGGACCAGACUCCUACGGGAGGGAGAAGUGGGGAAGAUUGCACAAUGGGCGGAAGCCUGAUGCAGCAACGCCGCGUGCGGGAGGACGGCCUUCGGGUUGGAAACCGCUUUCGCCUGUGACGAAGAGUGAGUGACGGUAAUGGGUAAAGAAGCACCGGCUAACUACGUG